UACGGGGGGAGCAAGCGUUGUUCGGAUUUACUGGGCGUAAAGGGCGCGUAGGCGGCCACCGCAAGUCGACUGUGAAAUCUCCGGGCUUAACCCGGAAAGGUCAGCCGAUACUGCGGGGCUAGAGUGCAAAAGGGGCAACUGGAAUUCUCGGUGUAGCGGUGAAAUGCGUAGAUAUCGAGAGGAACACCUGCGGCGAAGGCGGGUUGCUGGGCUGACACUGACGCUGAGGCGCGAAAGCUAGGGGAGCGAACGGG
rnacentral:rRNA from 1 species